rnacentral:rRNA from 1 species
CCUUCGGGAGGCAGCAGUGGGGAAUAUUGCACAAUGGGGGAAACCCUGAUGCAGCGACGCCGCGUGAGUGAAGAAGUAUCUCUGUAUGUAAAGCUCCAUCUGUAGGGAAGUAGAAAUAUGGUACCUGACUAAGUAGCCUCGGCUAACUACGUGCCAGCAGCCGCGGUAAUACGUAGGGGGCAAGCUUUAUCCGGAUUUACUGGGUGUAAAGGGAGCGUAGACGGCUGUGCAAGUCUGAAGUGAAAGCCUAGGGCUCAACCCUGGGACUGCGUUGGAAACUGUGGGGCUAGAGUGCUGGAGAGGUAAGUGGAAUUCCUAGUGUAGCGGUGAAAUGCGUAGAUAUUAGGAGGAACACCAGUGGCGAAGGCGGCUUACUGGACAGUAACUGACGUUGAGGCUCUAAAGCGUGGGGAGCAAACAGGAUUAGAUACCCCAGUAGUC